AGUUCAAUUUCAAUCUGCUUAUUCACUGAGACGAUUAAUCAUCUUGAAGGACAGCAGCAUUCAAGAGUUAGAGGAAGCAUGGAAUAAGCGGACCAAAUAUCACGCUUUGCAGAUGAAGAAAAGGAGAUAAAAACAUUUAAUCACCAAAAAGACGGCACUGGAAUUUCAAGAUUUUCCUCACUGUGCAGGUCGCAAUUCUUCUUGCCUUCUUCCAACCUCAUGCUUUUAUGUCCAUUCUGCUCCUAAUGUGACCGAGGAGAAAAGUCUUGGUGAGCAGGGAGCUCCCCAAACCAGCUAUGGCUAGCAACGUUCUAAUUCUGCUGAGGCACUGUGAAGUCAGGCUUCCAGAUCCCAUCUGCUCCCUACCUCAGUGUGAACAAUACUGUGGUGAUAUUUUGGUUCGGGCCCAUGUCACAGCUCACUGUGGAAUCACUUCCACUGAGUGAAGGAUGUGCACAACAGGCUGCCACCACCAAAGUGAUGAGUUGCAAUGGAAGAAAGUGUGCCCAGAGGCUACUUAAAUCCUCUUGUGACCUGGAAGGAACUGCUCCCCACACCUCUUGUUUCCAGGGAGACCUUCACAAUUUUCAAAUUCUUCCUCUUGUUCAAUAUUUGUGGCAUUAGCUAUUUGGCUAUUGGUCUCUGUGUAGGAAACAAGAACUUGUUUUUGGUAUGUCUUCAAGAGAAACAAAACUGAAAAGUGGUAAGAUGGUAUAAGAACCACUUAAGCCAAACGUAAUGAUCUAGGUAGCUCAUGGAGGGUGGAAAUUCUCUCCUUGACAACCAGGUUAAGUUUCAACAGGAUCCUGUUUUGGGUCUUUCUAGUACUUUCGCGAAUGUCUCCUCUUUCAGGAUUAAUCAGGAAGCCAGGUUCCAUAACACAGUUGUUGGCAUUACUGGAUGGCUGGUCCACAGAAGUGCUAAAGUCGCUUUACACUUGAAACUUCCUCUGUGGGAUAGCAGCCACCUAAUCUCUCUUUCUGGGAACAACAAAAAGUCUGAGGUCGUUCUGGGCAGGAGCAGUGAAGCAGCAGGUAGGCGGUGUGUGAGAGUCUUUAAGCUACUUGAGUAUCCCACUUACACACCCUUGCACAUGUCAUACCUAGACAUGUGACACACUACACUAUUGGAACAAACUUGACAGUAGGGAUCACACUUUCUUUUGCACAAAGGUCUAAAAUUUCAACUUAUUUCCAUUCAUUUUUAUUGUUAACCUUAAUUCCCUUCUUUUCAGGAUAGAAUCUGAAUGAGAGAAAUGAAAAUUCCACACCACAAAUCAGGAGAGAAUUUAAGCUUUGUUUCUAUUCUAUGAAGAAGUUUCUAAAACGACACACGUGCAUGUACAUACAUUUAAAGUGCAGGUGAAGGAUCCCAUAACAAGAUUGCCAGUGAAUUUGGCCUUCCAGGGCUGUGACAAUGUAUUUGAUGAUCUCUCAAGAAGAGGAUGAAUGUUUUGAGCUGGCUGAAUUUUGUUUCCUGGAUACUUUAGUAUCUAAAGAUUUGGCAGAGCUACACAGAAAAACAAAUAUGCUUGUUCACAUAUUAAUAUUACCAUUCCUGUAUUGUAGAUUUGGGUUCUUUGGUGUGUCUUGUAAAUAG